GAUGAACGCUGGCGGCGUGCCUAAUACAUGCAAGUCGAGCGAACAGAUGAGGAGCUUGCUCCUCUGACGUUAGCGGCGGACGGGUGAGUAACACGUGGAUAACCUACCUAUAAGACUGGGAUAACUUCGGGAAACCGGAGCUAAUACCGGAUAAUAUAUUGAACCGCAUGGUUCAAUAGUGAAAGACGGUUUUGCUGUCACUUAUAGAUGGAUCCGCGCCGCAUUAGCUAGUUGGUAAGGUAACGGCUUACCAAGGCAACGAUGCGUAGCCGACCUGAGAGGGUGAUCGGCCACACUGGAACUGAGACACGGUCCAGACUCCUACGGGAGGCAGCAGUAGGGAAUCUGCCGCAAUGGGCGAAAGCCUGACGGAGCAACGCCGCGUGAGUGAUGAAGGUCUUCGGAUCGUAAAACUCUGUUAUUAGGGAAGAACAAAUGUGUAAGGAACUAUGCACGGCUUGACGGUACCUAAUCAGAAAGCCACGGCUAACUACGUG
rnacentral:rRNA from 1 species